UACAGAGGGGGCAAGCGUUAUUCGGAAUUAUUGGGCGUAAAGGGCGCGUAGGCGGCGAUUCAAGUGACGGGUGAAAUCCCUCGGCUUAACCGAGGAACUGCCUGUCAGACUGGAUUGCUUGAGGCCGGGAGAGGCGAGUGGAAUUCCCAGUGUAGCGGUGAAAUGCGUAGAUAUUGGGAGGAACACCAGUGGCGAAGGCGGCUCGCUGGACCGGUUCUGACGCUGAGGCGCGAAAGCGUGGGGGGCAAACAGG
rnacentral:rRNA from 1 species